UCCUAAUCUUGUCAUUUUCGAUGCUCAUGCGAAGGUUUCAUGUGAUGGUUGUGUCAGAACCAUCAGGGAACAUGGUGUGGAUGGAUAUCCAUUCACUCUUGAUCACCAUUGACAGGCUGAAUUUCCUCAAGGAGCAAGAGGAGGACGCUAAGAGGAAUCUGACCAUAAGCUCUUUCUUGGUUUCAUACUCACGUGAUUACAUGAUUUCAAAAGAUGGAAGCAAAAUCCCUGUGUCGGACCUUGAAGGAAAAUUGGUUGGCUUUUAUUUUUCAGCGCAUGGUCAUAGGAUGUGCCGUGAAUUCACUCCUAAACUAGUGGAAUUCUAUAAGAUGAUCAAGGAAAAAGGAGAGAACUUUGAAGUAGUCAUGAUAUCUCUAGACAAUGAAGAAUAAGACUUCAAACAAAGUUUUGAGACAAUGCCUUGGUUGGCUUUGCCAUUUAAGAACAGGAGCUGUAAGAAGCUAGCACAGUAUUUUGAGUUUAGAACCUUUCCUACUCUAGUCAUAAUUGGCAGGAUGGAAAGACUUUGAACCCAAAUUUGGGUGAAGUUAUUGAAGACCACGGUCUUGAAGUCUAUCCAUUUACACCGGAGAAACUCGAUGAGUUAGCUGUGAUUGACAAGGCAAAACUGGAAGCAGUUUUGCUUCAUGGGGAAAAUGAUUUUGUGACUGACAAAAGCGGUUUCAAGGUCCCAAUGUCUGAGCUAGAUGGAAAGAACAUUCUUCUUCACUUCUCAGAUCAACGGUUACCUCCCUGUCGUUCCUUUUUACCCGAGCUAAUUGAAGCAUACCACACAAUUAAAGCAAAAGACAAUGCCCUUGAGGUGAUCUUCAUCUCAAGCGACCGUGACCGACCUUUGAUAAGUUCUAUUCAGAAAUGCCUUGAUUAGCCCUUCCAUUUGGCGACGUAAGGAAACAAAUCCUGGUGCGGAAGUUCAAAAUUCAAGGGAUUCCUGCAGCUGUAGCAACUGGUCCCAGUGGCCGGACCACUAUUAAGGAAGCUCGGAUGCACUUGACAGCUUACAGGGCAGAUGCUUUUCCCUUCACCGAGGAACAUCUAAAGCAACUGGAAGAGAAGCUUGAGGAACAAGCAAAGGGGUGGCCAGAGAAAGUGAAACACGAACUUCAUGCUGAACAUGAGCUUAUACGUUCUAAACACAGUACAUGUAUAUAUUUGCGAUGGCUGUAGGGAUAUGGGAUCUGUUUGGUCUUUCUGUUGCAAACGAUGUGAAUUUGAUCUUCACCCCAAGUGUGCUUUGAAGGAAGAUGAAAAUACUGGGACUCAAAAGGGAAAGGAAGGAUGGAUUUGCAAUGGAGAUGUGUGCUGCAAAUCUUUAGCUGACCUAACGGUCUUCCUUUUAUAACAAGCAUGCAAUGUAA